GGUCAAGCGAAUAAGCGCACACGGUGGAUGCCUUGGCGGUCAGAGGCGAUGAAGGACGUGGCAGCCUGCGAAAAGUAUCGGGGAGCUGGCAACAAGCUUUGAUCCGGUAAUGUCCGAAUGGGGAAACCCACCCGCUUGCGGGUAUCCUGCAGUGAAUACAUAGCUGCUGGAAGCGAACCUGGUGAACUGAAAUAUCUAAGUAACCAGAGGAAAAGAAAUCAACCGAGAUUCCGUAAGUAGCGACGAGCGAACGCGGACUAGCCCUUAAGCUGGAUUGGUUCUAGGAAAAUGCUCUGGAAAGAGCAGCCAUAGAAGGUGAUAGCCCUGUAUCUGAAAGGGCCAUUCCAGUGAAGACGAGUAGGGCGGGGCACGUGAAACCCUGUCUGAACAUGGGGGGACCAUCCUCCAAGGCUAAAUACUACUGACCGACCGAUAGUGAACCAGUACCGUGAGGGAAAGGCGAAAAGAACCCCGGAGAGGGGAGUGAAAUAGAACCUGAAACCGUGUGCGUACAAGCAGUAGGAGCUCCGCAAGGAGUGACUGCGUACCUUUUGUAUAAUGGGUCAGCGACUUACUGUUCGUGGCAAGCUUAACCGUAUAGGGGAGGCGAAGGGAAACCGAGUCUGAUAAGGGCGCAUAGUCGCGGGCAGUAGACCCGAAACCGGGUGAUCUAGUCAUGCCCAGGGUGAAGGUGCGGUAACACGCACUGGAGGCCCGAACCCACUCCCGUUGCAAAGGUAGGGGAUGAGGUGUGAUUAGGAGUGAAAAGCUAAUCGAACCCGGAGAUAGCUGGUUCUCCUCGAAAGCUAUUUAGGUAGCGCCUCAUAUGUAUCCUCUCGGGGGUAGAGCACUGUUAUGGCUAGGGGGUCAUCGCGACUUACCAAACCAUUGCAAACUCCGAAUACCGAGACGGACUGUAUGGGAGACACACGGCGGGUGCUAACGUCCGUCGUGAAAAGGGAAACAACCCAGACCCACAGCUAAGGUCCCAAAUUUUGUGCUAAGUGGAAAACCAUGUGGAAAGGCACAGACAGCCAGGAGGUUGGCUUAGAAGCAGCCACCCUUUAAAGAAAGCGUAAUAGCUCACUGGUCGAGUCGGUCUGCGGGGAAGAUUUAACGGGGCUAAGCACAGAACCGAAGCUUGGGGUGCAUAACUUUGUUAUGCGCGGUAGAGGAGCGUUCCGUAAGCCGUUGAAGGUGGAUUGAGAAGUCUGCUGGAGGUAUCGGAAGUGCGAAUGCUGACAUGAGUAACGAUAAUGCGGGUGAAAAACCCGCACGCCGAAAGCCCAAGGUUUCCUUGCGCAACGUUAAUCGGCGCAGGGUGAGUCGGCCCCUAAGGCGAGGACGAAAGUCGUAGUCGAUGGGAAGCAGGUUAAUAUUCCUGCACCUCGCGUAAGUGCGAUGGAGGGACGGAGAAGGUUAGGUGUACCAGGCGUUGGUUGUCCUGGGGAAAGGCGGUAGGUUUGGAUCUUUGGCAAAUCCGGGAUCCUUUAAGACCGAGCACCGAGACGAGCCUUUAUGGCGAAGUCACUGAUACCACGCUUCCAGGAAAAGCUCCUAAGCUUCAGCUUACGCAGACCGUACCGUAAACCGACACAGGUGGGUAGGAUGAGAAUUCUCAGGCGCUUGAGAGAACUCGGGUGAAGGAACUAGGCAACAUGGCACCGUAACUUCGGGAGAAGGUGCACCCUUUUUGGUGGCUCGUGCGAGCUAUAGCUGAAGAGGGUCGCAGUAACCAGGCCGCUGCGACUGUUUAUCAAAAACACAGCACUCUGCAAACACGAAAGUGGACGUAUAGGGUGUGACGCCUGCCCGGUGCUGGAAGGUUAAUUGAUGGGGUCAGCCGCAAGGCGAAGCUCUUGAUCGAAGCCCCAGUAAACGGCGGCCGUAACUAUAACGGUCCUAAGGUAGCGAAAUUCCUUGUCGGGUAAGUUCCGACCUGCACGAAUGGCGUAACGACAGCGGCGCUGUCUCCACCCGAGACUCAGUGAAAUUGAAAUCGCUGUGAAGAUGCAGCGUUCCCGUGGCAAGACGGAAAGACCCCGUGAACCUUUACUAUAGCUUUACACUGAACGUUGAGUUCGUCUGUGUAGGAUAGGUGGGAGGCUAUGAAACUGUGGCGCUAGCUGCAG
rnacentral:rRNA from 1 species